CAGAAAUUUUAAAAAAAAUGUAGAACAGAUCAAUGAAACUACGGGCUAGUUGUUUGAAAGAAUUAAAAGGAUUGAUAAACUCUUAGCCAGAUUUAACAAAAAGAA